rnacentral:rRNA from 1 species
AGUGAACGCUGGCGGUAGGCCUAACACAUGCAAGUCGAACGGCAGCACAGUAAGAGCUUGCUCUUACGGGUGGCGAGUGGCGGACGGGUGAGGAAUACAUCGGAAUCUACUUUUUCGUGGGGGAUAACGUAGGAAAACUUACGCUAAUACCGCAUACGACCUACGGGUGAAAGUAGGGGAUCUUCGGACCUUGCGCGAUUGAAUGAGCCGAUGUCGGAUUAGCUAGUUGGCGGGGUAAAGGCCCACCAAGGCGACGAUCCGUAGCUGGUCUGAGAGGAUGAUCAGCCACACUGGAACUGAGACACGGUCCAGACUCCUACGGGAGGCAGCAGUGGGGAAUAUUGGACAAUGGGCGCAAGCCUGAUCCAGCCAUACCGCGUGGGUGAAGAAGGCCUUCGGGUUGUAAAGCCCUUUUGUUGGGAAAGAAAAGCAGCAGGUUAAUACCCCGCUGUUCUGACGGUACCCAAAGAAUAAGCACCGGCUAACUUCGUG